AGCUGCACAGAGACUGCACUGCUGCAGCUGGACUCUACUGCAGAUGUUUCUCCAGAGGUGUCUCCUCAAUAUCAUCCAGGUUUAUGUCCAUGGGUUCAUUGGUGGCUUCUGAGUCCUUAGUGUGUUCCAGAGGCUGGACACUUGCUGAAACCUCUUCCUGCAGCUGGAUGUCCAGGAGCUCAUUGAUGGCUUUAUCUUCAUCAUUAUUGGAGCUCACAAGAUGAUCUUGAAUGAAGUCAGACAGAUUAGAGCUCAUAUUAAUCUUUAUACACUCUCAGAAAUAAAGGCAUGAAACUGUGACUGGGUCAGUGCCCCUCUUGUGUCUGGGGUGGGACCCUCCAAGGUCCAUCUCAGUCCCUUUAGUC